UACGUAGGGUGCGAGCGUUGUCCGGAAUUAUUGGGCGUAAAGAGCUCGUAGGCGGUCUGUCGCGUCUGCUGUGAAAUCCCGAGGCUCAACCUCGGGCUUGCAGUGGGUACGGGCAGGCUAGAGUGCGGUAGGGGAGAAUGGAACUCCUGGUGUAGCGGUGGAAUGCGCAGAUAUCAGGAAGAACACCGAUGGCGAAGGCGGUUCUCUGGGCCGUAACUGACGCUGAGGAGCGAAAGCGUGGGGAGCGAACAGG
rnacentral:rRNA from 1 species